GGGGUUGGGGGUGGGGUUGACUUUUCACACUUGAACUGGUUUUUAGAGAAAAAGGACCCUACACAAACAAAACUAUACAGUAUAUACUUUAUUUGAAUCAGGGUUCAUACAGCUUUUACAAAAGUAAAAUCAAAGCGCAUCACAGGCACUUAACACUGUCAAAAUCCUACAUCUCAAACUCCAUGCAGAGCAGCAUGACUAUAGUCACCUUUUCUCUUGUGUUGCUUAACUGUACAGUGGAUGUGUUCACCACACAUCUGCCAGCAAUGCCCUCAACAGGAAUUUGAACAUUAACAUUUUGAUAACUUAAGUGGGAUUUUAUUAACUCAAUCAUGCCAGAUGGAAUAGCCUUCACAAUAGUAACAAAUUCUCUGUAUUUGACUGGAAAGGCUUUAGCCUUUAGGAAGUUUUCAUAGCUAUAAAGACUUCCAUUAUCAUCAAAUAAGGAUGUCACAAAGAUUAUGUCCCUCCCAAUCCAGCUUUCAUUAUAUACAGUUUUGUUUUUAAUAGUAAUUUGCCCAUUGUGCCAAAGUAUUUCUUUAUGUGGAGAAAAGUUGUUAACAUAACACAAUUUCCAAGAAAGUAAUGCCUGCUGAUAAUACUUUGAGAGUUUCAGUGGCAAUUUAGAAACUGAGAAGUUGCAGCUCAUUAGAAAAUUUAAGCCUCCAACUUUUUUAAAUACAUUGUGUGGAAUAAAAUUCCAGAGUGAUUGUGGUAGCUCCAAACAUUUUUUAAGCCAGGUAAAUCUGAAGGUAGAAUUUAAGUGAAAAAGCUUUUAAAUUUCUAAACCUCCUUCUGCUGCCUGGAGAAGUCUUUUUUUUUUUUUGUGACUGUGGCCACACAAAGCAGGCCUGGAGAAAUCUGCUACUUUCAGAAAUGCUGCGUCACGGAUGUCAUCACGUUAGAGUUGCUCGUCCAAUCACACGCGUCGUCUCGCAAGAACCGCGCAAUAAACGAACGGACAAAGAAGUGGUCUUUGUUACGCGGGCUUCUACAAUGGCGGCCCGGUAUCGCCAGUCUCACUACAGGCUCCUCAUAUGGAACAGCCUGGACAUGACCGACUGGUUUCAGUCAGACCCGCGACAGACACUGAAAAGAAACUGUUGAGCGUUAUCAGCCGGCUGUCUGCCAGAGAGCACCGCUGGAGGAGAAGCUGGAGCACAGGCUGGAGCGGUGUCUGAGCUGCAGGAGAGGAUGUCCGCCAUGGAAGCCCAAAUAAACACUUUCUCCAGUGAGAGGGCGGCGAGGAAAUUCAGCGGAAAAGAGGAGAGCACAGUCCUAAAAUUGUGCCGCUUGUAAAACCCAUUACUCUGCGCAGGAAUUUCCGCUAUAGUCAACCCGACAUGGUGGAUCAGGCGGAGGCGAUUAAGUCAUUUGCCCAGAGUCGGCAGAGAAGAAAGAGACUGCUGGAUGCCAGGAAGACGGUCCUUGCUCCAGACAAAGAGGAGUUCUGGAAUGGCAUCACAGCGGACAUGAUGUCGGAUGAAGAGGACGGCAGUGUAGAUGGCGUACAUGGAUGGAUUGUGUGGCCUCCAUCCUUCCGCAGCCAGGAGCUUUCUAACUUGUGUGCUGCCCUACAGGCCAGGCUGGAAGCUGAUGGAAGGUACACAACUCUUCAGCACAGACAUUUUUACAAUGGACAGCCGUCUGAAAGACUGAAGCCAUUGAAAUACGAGGAAACAUUUUAUUCCAGAGCUGAUGCCUGAGACCAGCCCGGAGUGACAGAUCAACUAUGUUUUAGUUUUUGUUUUGAAAUGUAUAUAUUUUUUUGAAACUUUGAACAAUUCUAUUUCCUUUUUUUCCUUUUAAUUUUUUUUGUAUUUUUUUUUAAAGAACAGCUUAUUUUAAUUUUGAUUUCGGAUUACUGAAACUGUAGACUGUUCAAUAAAGCGCUUGUUUUUCAA